rnacentral:rRNA from 1 species
CCUACGGGAGGCAGCAGUGGGGAAUAUUGCGCAAUGGGCGAAAGCCUGACGCAGCGACGCCGCGUGAGGGAUGAAGGUCUUCGGAUCGUAAACCUCUGUCAGCAGGGAAGAACGGUCACUGUGCUAAUCAGCAGUGAAUUGACGGUACCUGCAAAGGAAGCACCGGCUAACUCCGUGCCAGCAGCCGCGGUAAUACGGAGGGUGCGAGCGUUAAUCGGAAUUACUGGGCGUAAAGCGAUCGUAGGCGGUAUGUCAAGUCAAGGGUGAAAUCCCCGGGCUCAACGUGGGAACUGCCUUUGAAACUGGCAGACUGGAGUGUGUGAGAGGAUAGUGGAAUUCCAGGUGUAGGGGUGAAAUCCGUAGAUAUCUGGAGGAACAUCAGUGGCGAAGGCGACUAUCUGGCACAUAACUGACGCUGAGGAGCGAAAGCGUGGGUAGCAAACAGGAUUAGAUACCCGGGUAGUC